rnacentral:piRNA from 1 species
UCUCCCUGCUUGGUGAUGGUCUUGAAGAA